GACGAACGCUGGCGGCGUGCAUAACACAUUCAAGUCGAACGGGAAUCGAAUGAUUGAGACUUCGGUCGAUUGAUUUCGAGGAUAGUGGCGGACGGGUGAGUAACGCGUGAGCAACCUGCCUUUGUGAGGGGGAUAACACAGGGAAACUUGUGCUAAUACCGCAUAACAUAUACCGGGGGCAUCCCUGGUAUAUCAAAGCUUUAUGUGCUGAAAGAUGGUCUCGCGUCUGAUUAGCUAGAUGGCGGGGUAACGGCCCACCAUGGCGACGAUCAGUAGCCGGUCUGAGAGGAUGAACGGCCACAUUGGGACUGAGAUACGGCCCAGACUCCUACGGGAGGCAGCAGUGGGGAAUAUUGGGCAAUGGGGGAAACCCUGACCCAGCAACGCCGCGUGAAGGAAGAAGGCCUCGGGUUGGUAAACGUUCUUUUAAGUCAGGACGGAAUAACGUGACGGUACC
rnacentral:rRNA from 1 species